rnacentral:rRNA from 1 species
CUUGACGACCAUAGAGCGUUGGAACCACCUGAUCCCAUUCCGAACUCAGAAGUGAAACGAUGCAUCGCCGAUGGUAGUGUGGGGUUUCC